rnacentral:rRNA from 1 species
AUUGACCGCUGGCGGCAGGCCUAACACAUGCAAGUCGAACGAUUGGCGGACGUGUGAAUAAUGUCUGUGAAACUGCCUUAUGUAGUGGGCUAACUACUGGAACAGGUAGCUAAUACCGCCUAACGUCAUAUGUGCCCAUAUGGUAUUAUCUUGUUGGUGGGUGAACGGCUCACCAAGGCGACGAUCCCUAGCUGGUCUGAGAGGAUGACCAGACACACGGGAACUGAGAUACUGUCCAGACUGCUACGGGAGGCAGCAGGGGUGAAUAUUGCAAAUUGUGCGCAAGCCUGAUGCACACAUGCCGCGUGAAUAGAGAAGUCCUUCGCGUUGUAAAGUAUUUUCAGUGGGGAGGCGUUACCCCCAGAAGAAGCACCGGCUAACUCCGUGCCAGCAGCCGCGGUAAUAC